GAGAAAAGAAUGGUGAUCACGGUGAUAUAAAAAUUGCAUCGAACGGAGGCCGGGAAGGGCCUCGUCGGAGGCAAAAACCGAGAGGGGGCGCGGCGGCACCGCUGGGCUUCGGCCGCGUAUUUCGGCCGUUUGGCCGGGAUUUCGGCUUCGAUUUGGCCAUAGGAGGAAUCAGUGGGGAAAAACGAGUCGGGAGUAUGAAAUUUACCUCGAUCGGCGGUCGGAAAUUUCCCCGGUGCGGCGGCGAGUGGCGGCGGGUGGCGGCGGUCGGCCUCUGGUUCGUCUUCUCCGGCGAGCGGCUGGCGGCUAGGGUUUGUGGUCUGGUGUGGGGGUUCUAUUUAUAACCCCUUGCCUUUUGAUCACAGCCGUUCAUUUUAUUUUAAUCUGGGCCGUUCGUUUUUGAUUGAAUCUGGGCCGUCCGUGCGUUUGAAUCUGGGCCGUCCGAUCGCGCGAUUGAUUUGGGCCGUCG
rnacentral:lncRNA from 1 species